AGAGUUUGAUCCUGGCUCAGAGCGAACGCUGGCGGCAGGCCUAACACAUGCAAGUCGAACGGAUCCUUCGGGAUUAGUGGCGGACGGGUGAGUAACACGUGGGAACGUACCUUUCGGUUCGGAAUAAUACAGGGAAACUUGUACUAAUACCGGAUACGCCCUUCGGGGGAAAGAUUUAUCGCCGAUUGAUCGGCCCGCGUCUGAUUAGCUAGUUGGUGAGGUAAUGGCUCACCAAGGCGACGAUCAGUAGCUGGUCUGAGAGGACGAUCAGCCACACUGGAACUGAGAGACGGUCCAGACUCCUACGGGAGGCAGCAGUGAGGAAUAUUGGUCAAUGGGCGCAAGCCUGAACCAGCCAUGCCGCGUGCAGGAUGAAGCAUCUAUGGUGUGUAAACUGCUUUUAUACGGGAAGAAACCCUGCCACGUGUGGCAGAUUGACGGUACCGUAAGAAUAAGGACCGGCUAACUCCGUGCCAGCAGCCGCGGUAAUACGGAGGGUCCAAGCGUUAUCCGGAAUCAUUGGGUUUAAAGGGUCCGUAGGCGGCCCGGUAAGUCAGUGGUGAAAUCUCCCCGCUCAACGGGGAAACGGCCAUUGAUACUGCCGGGCUUGAAUUACCAGGAAGUAACUAGAAUAUGUAGUGUAGCGGUGAAAUGCUUAGAUAUUACAUGGAAUACCAAUUGCGAAGGCAGGUUACUACUGGUAUAUUGACGCUGAUGGACGAAAGCGUGGGUAGCGAACAGGAUUAGAUACCCUGGUAGUCCACGCCGUAAACGAUGGAUACUAGCUGUUGGGAGCGAUCUCAGUGGCUAAGCGAAAGUGAUAAGUAUCCCACCUGGGGAGUACGAACGCAAGUUUG
rnacentral:rRNA from 1 species